rnacentral:rRNA from 1 species
ACCGCAACGAGCGCAACCCUUGUCCUUAGUUACCAGCACGUUAUGGUGGGCACUCUAAGGAGACUGCCGGUGACAAACCGGAGGAAGGUGGGGAUGACGUCAAGUCAUCAUGGCCCUUACGGCCUGGGCUACACACGUGCUACAAUGGUCGGUACAAAGGGUUGCCAAGCCGCGAGGUGGAGCUAAUCCCAUAAAACCGAUCGUAGUCCGGAUCGCAGUCUGCAACUCGACUGCGUGAAGUCGGAAUCGCUAGUAAUCGUGAAUCAGAAUGUCACGGUGAAUACGUUCCCGGGCCUU